rnacentral:rRNA from 1 species
CCUGGCGGCUAUAGCGGCGUGGUCCCACCUGAUCCCAUCCCGAACUCAGAAGUGAAACGCGCAUGCGCCGAUGGUAGUGUGGCUCAAGCCAUGCAAGAGUAGGUCACCGCCAGGGGCUUUAUCCUAAAAACCCGGUCUCGUCAGAGGCCGGGUUUUUUCUUUGCUCCUGUGCCCAGCGGGCACGACCCGCCACAGGUCACCGCCAGGGGCUUU